CAAAGGUUUGGUCCUGACUUUACUAUCAGCUUUAACCCGACUUACACAUGCAAGCCUCCGCACCCCUGUGAGGAUGCCCUCAAUCCCCCGUCCGGGGACGAGGAGCUGGUAUCAGGCACACGAUUUUAAGCCCAAGACGCCUUGCUUAGCCACACCCCCAAGGGAACUCUUCAGCAGUGAUAAACAUUAAGCCAUAAGUGAAAACUUGACUUAGUUAGGGUUAAGAGGGCCGGUAAAACUCGUGCCAGCCACCGCGGUUAUACGAGGGACCCUAGUUGAUUUAAUCGGCGUAAAGAGUGGUUAUGGAGAAUAAGAAACUAAAGCCGAAGACCUCUUAGGCCGUCAUACGUACCUAGAGGCUCGAAUAACAAACACGAAAGUAGCUUUACCCCUUCCUGCCAGAACCCACGAGAGCUGGGAUACAAACUGGGAUUAGAUACCCCACUAUGCCCUGCCGUAAACUUAGAUAUUUCAAUACAAUAGAUAUCCGCCAGGGGACUACGAGCGCUAGCUUAAAACCCAAAGGACUUGGCGGUGCUUCAGACCCCCCUAGAGGAGCCUGUUCUAGAACCGAUAACCCCCGUUCAACCUCACUACUCCUUGCUUUUCCCGCCUAUAUACCCACCGUCGCCAGCUUUACCCUGUGAAGGAACUACAGUAAGCAGGAUGAGCAUUGCUCAAAACGUCAGGUCGAGGUGUAGCGUACGAAGUAGGAAGAAAUGGGCUACAUUGUCUGAACCAGAUCAUUCACGGAAAGUUGUCUGAAACGACCACUCGAAGGUGGAUUUAGCAGUAAAGGGGGAAUAGAGCGCCCCCUUGAAGCCGGCUCUGAAGCGCGCACACACCGCCCGUCACUCUCCCCGACAACUACUCACACCAAAGUAAGUAACGCAAUAUUUGUCACAAGGGGAGGCAAGUCGUAACAUGGUAAGUGUACCGGAAGGUGCACUUGGAAUAAU
rnacentral:ncRNA from 1 species